rnacentral:misc_RNA from 1 species
ACAAACUUGGUCAUUUAGAGGAAGUAAAAGUCGUAACAAGGUCUCCGUAGGUGAACCUGCGGAGGGAUCAUUACACAAUACGAAGGCGGGCUGGACACCCCCCGCUGGGCACUGCUUCACGGCGUGCGCGGCGGGGCCGGCCCUGCUGAACUAUUCACCCGUGUCUUUUGCGUACCUCUUGUUUCCUGGGCGGGCUCGCCCGCCACCAGGACCAACCACAAACCUUUUUGUAAUAGCAAUCCGCGUCAGUAACAACGUAAUUAAUUACAACUUUCAACAACGGAUCUCUUGGUUCUGGCAUCGAUGAAGAACGCAGC